rnacentral:rRNA from 1 species
AUUGAACGCUGGCGGCAGGCCUAACACAUGCAAGUCGAACGAGUGGCGGACGGGUGAGUAAUGUCUGGGAAACUGCCUGAUGGAGGGGGAUAACUACUGGAAACGGUAGCUAAUACCGCAUACCAUCAGAUGUGCCCAGAUGGGAUUAGCUAGUUGGUGGGGUAAAGCAUCACCAAGGCGACGAGCCCUAGCUGGUCUGAGAGGAUGACCAGCCACACUGGAACUGAGACACGGUCCAGACUCAGACGGGAGGCAGCAGUGGGGAAUAUUGCACAAUGGGCGCAAGCCUGAUGCAGCCAUGCCGCGUGUAUGAAGAAGGCCUUCGGGUUGUAAAGUACUUUCAGCGGGGAGGCGUUACCCGCAGAAGAAGCACCGGCUAACUCCGUGCCAGCAGCCGCGGUAAUUC